GAUGAACGCUGGCGGCGUGCUUAACACAUGCAAGUCGAACGGAAAGGCCCAAGCUUGCUUGGGUACUCGAGUGGCGAACGGGUGAGUAACACGUGGGUGAUCUGCCCUGCACUUCGGGAUAAGCCUGGGAAACUGGGUCUAAUACCGGAUAGGACCUCCUCUUGGAUGUUGUGGUGGGAAGUUUUUUGGGUGUGGGGUGAGCUCGCGGCCUAUAAGCUUGUUUGUGGGGUGUAUGGCUAUCAAAGCGUUGACGGGGAGCCGGGCCGUGAGGGUGUACGGGCACAAUUGGAAGGAGGUUCGGGCCAAGCUCCUACGGGGAGGCAGAGUUGGGAAUAUUUCACAAAUGGGGCGAGCCUUGUGCAGGGAAGCCGGCGUGGGGGUGACGGCCUUCGGGUUGUUAACUCGUUUCGCUAGGGGCGAAACGGUUAGUGACGGUACCUGGAGAAGAAGCACCGGCUAACUACGUG
rnacentral:rRNA from 1 species